UGAACAUUGUCUUGUUUUAUGGUCNGUUUACUGGCCGGUUGUUGUAAAUCUGUUGACAUAUCUGCUUACCGAACUUCUUACAUUU